CUUCCCCGCGCCCCUUCCGGGAUUCGGCACAGUGAUUGCUGGCUGGUGUUUUCCUUGCUUGAUACCCAUCCUGAGCUGUUUAUGUCCUUGUGCCUCUCUUCACAAACCUGCUCUUACAUAAUGGAGGUCUCCUUGAACAUUGAAUGGAAUAAAAAGGAAAAGGAAGGUUCACUGCUUCACUGCUUCCUGCCUGCAUGCCCUGAACUAUUUUCCUCUGCCAUGCUGCCUUGGCUUGGAGCCACCCAACAGUAAACUAAAACCCUUACAAAC
rnacentral:lncRNA from 1 species